rnacentral:lncRNA from 1 species
GUUGGUCAUGAAACUCGACGAGUUGAAAAACAACUCGGCGAGUUGUAUGAGUUUUAGCCAAGGACGUGUUUGCAUGUAUACCCGUCGAGUUGCAAGGAACUCGACGGGUGGUCUUGAGACCUGAUUAGGAUUCGAAGGAACUCGAUGAGUCACCCCGAUGACUCGGCGAGUUGGUGUGUGCUUCAAAGACUCGGCGAGCCACCGAGUGUACUCGGCGAGUUGAGGGCAACAUGAACUGUUGACCUUGACCAAGGACUUUGACCUUGAUCAGGGAUUGACCAGUAAGUUAUGGGGUGUCUCAUAAGAGUAAUAACUUAUGAGUAUAUUGUGCUAUGGUUAUAGGUGGUGGAGUCGGUGUCAAGUGAUCCGAUAGUUGGAGUUCGCAUUUCUAUCGACAUAUGUGAGGUGAGUUAUCCUCAGUAUAUCGAUAGGGUCUACGGCACCAAGGCCGGCCCUUUAUGGUUUACAUCCUUAGUUAGGAUGGUUGUCUUGAUAUUGCCAUGUUAGAUUACAUCCUGGUUUAGGAUGGGUGUUAUGUUAUUGCUUUGCUAGAAUUUAUCCUGCUUAGGAUGGUCGUUAUACUAGAGCUCGGUAGUUAUGGUAUGAUGCAUAAGAUUCUGAUCUGUUGGAUUGGAAUCAGGAUAGAUAGAAUGUUAUGCUUAUGUGACCUGUGAAGAUUGGUAUGUUAGUUACCUGUUAGGUCGAUACCCUAGCUAUGAGUGAAACUCUAUGAUUGAUGGUCAAUGAGAUAGAUAUGUUUACUAUGUGAACAUGCCAGUAUAUGAUAGUAUGCGUACAUGGUUAUUUACGUGAUGGCUAGGUUGAGGCGGUACUGCUUUGUGCUGAAGGCCAACACACCCUCAGAGCGGUCCAGGGAGACUCUAGGCCCACGCGGCGGACCAGUCAUGCCGAAGGCUUGGGAUAGAUUCAGAUAGACUGUAGGCCCAGUAGGGUGGACCAGUCCGGCCGAUGGCCCAGUAUGUAUGUUGUUUUGAUUGAUCGUUAUGGCUAUGGUUCUGUCAGUGUGGUAUUGGUAUUUUGGGGGUAGCUCACUAAGCCCUCGGGCUUACAGUGUCAGUUUAUUGUUUCAGGUACUUCAGGAGAGCGGGGGAAGGCGAAGGCGUGACCGUACCGCUCCUCAUCCUCAUGAUCUAUUUUGGGACACUCUGAUGAUAAAUGAAUUGGAAAUGUUUUGUAAAAACAAUUACUAUUUGACUCUUUUAUUAGUAUUAAAAGUUUAAAUUUGGUGUAAAUUUUAUGGGUGUUACAAGUUGGUAUCAGAGCCUUGGUUUGAGCGAAUUGGAGGAGUACUCGUGUGAAUCCAGUCUCAAACCAAGGAGAUUUUUGGGAAAUAAGUUUUAAAAAUGGUUUGUCAAAAUAAAGGAUGGAGGACGUAGAAGGUACGAUCAGCCGGAACCAGUAAGUAAGCCCCAAAAUACCAUACAAUUAUUUGAUAUUCUGAUAUGAUUAGAACAGCAUGCUAGUGCUAGGCUAGGUAUUUUCAGGAAUCGCAUGAUAGAUUGGCCUGAUUGUAUGAUACCUAUUAGCCUAGGGUUUCUUGUAUAUGGGAUUGACAUCAUACUGUAGAUGUUUAGUGUAUGCACCACGGCUGUGGAUAGUCAAGAUCAUAUAGCCUGAGAAUGUCCGAUUCGACCUUAGUGUAGGAUCGGAUAUUCGAAAGUCUAUCGGGCCCAGCACUAUGUGCAGCCAGUGUACACUAGCUCUGCAGGGGGUGAUGGAAGUUUCAUGGAUAUGUGAGUGGUGCGGAACUACAGGAUCAGUAACUAGUUAGGCGAUGUCCCCUGUUAGUGAGGGUUUAGCGUAGAUUAUGUUAAAUACAGUUUAGGGCGUUGUGGUGAUACUUGACACAAAUAUGGGUAGGUGUGGAAGGUAGUAGGGGCCCAUACUACUGAAAGCACAGGACCUAUACGUGUAUCAAGGAAGUCACAACCCCUAGGGUUUUGGGGUAAUUGGUCUUCCGUCAUUAUAUGAUUUGUCUGAGACAUUGAGUUUGUUUGCAGUAUGGUGGUGACAAGACACGUUGCUUUGGGGUUCGGAUCAGGAUCAGGGUCAGGAGACGGAGGAUUGGAGGUGCCGAUAGCACCUGAGCCCGUGGUUCAGAUCGGGACUGAGGAGUUGGAUGCCCGGAUUUGGGAGAUCAUGUACGAUGAGAUUGCUGUUGCGUUCCGAGCGCAUCUGCCAGAGAUGUUGGGGUCGAUUAAGACCGCGAUGGUCUAGUACUUUGAUGAGCGGUAUGCCGCUCUAGCAGAGAUUGUUGCCGCUGUAGCCACUUCGGCUGUAACACCUGCAGGGAUUGGAGGAGGAGGAGCCGGCAGGGCUUUCCAAUACCGGGACUUCGACAAUACGAAGCCCCCGACAUUUGAUGGUACAUAGGAUGUUAUUCGGGCUAUGAGGUGGUUAUCUGACGUGGAGGGAUGUUUCUUCACGUGUUCAUGUCCUGCUGACCAGAAGGUCAGGUGUGCCCUGAACCUGCUGAGGCUAGGGGCGAAGGACUAGAUGAGGAUGAAAACUGGGUUGUAUACUGAUGAUCAGAGGGCUGCUAUUACCUAGGAGCAAUUCCGGGAUAUGUUUCGCACCCGCUACGUUCAGCGAGUGGAACGGGAGCGGCAUGCUCAGGAGUUUUUGACCUUGAGACAGGAUGAGGAGUUUGUGAUGGAGAUUACCUGUAUGUUCAUGGAGAGGGCUAUGUUUUGCCCGGAGUUUGCUUCAGAGCAGUCUCAGAUGACUCGUUAUCUGAGUAUGUUCAAGACGGAUAUUCUUCAGUUUGUGUCUACUCAGCGGGUUGUAUACUGAUGAUCAGAGGGCUGCUAUUACCUAGGAGCAGUUUCGGGAUAUGUUUCGCACCCGCUAUGUUCAGCGAGUGGAACGGGAGCGGCAUGCUCAGGAGUUUUUGACCUUGAGACAGGAUGAGGAGUCUGUGAUGGAGAUUACCUGUAUGUUCAUGGAGAGGACUAUGUUUUGCCCGGAGUUUGCUUCAGAGCAGUCUCGGAUGACUCGUUAUCUGAGUAUGCUCAAGACGGAUAUUCGUCAGUUUGUGUCUACUCAGCGAUGUGAUACCCUCCAAGACCUACAGGAAGCCGCGCGGCGACAUUAGUUGGAGAUAGAGCUGUAACUGAAGGAACAGCGUCAGGCGCUGACACAUUCUCAGUCGGCGCCUAAGCAGUUUAAAACCACUGAUACAAGGUCCGAGGGUCAUCAGAGCCGCACUUGUGGAAAGUGUGGCAAGGCUCAUUCAGGGGUUUGUCGAGCUGGAGGUGGGUGCCACAAGUGUGGCAAGGAGGGGCACUAUGCCAGGGAUUGUCGUCAGUCCACCCCUCCAGCAGAUAUGAGGAUUUGUUUUUAUUGUCACCAGGUUGGUCAUGUGAAGACCAACUGUCCGCAGCUCGCCGCCAAGCCGGCGCAAGGUUCCGCGCCAGCUACUGUGAGGAUUGGAGAGGGGAGGCCAGUCAAGAUGGAUCCUCUGAAGGCUCAGGGUCACGCCUUCCAGCUCACGGCCGAGGAGGCCAAGGCAGCACCGGAUGUGGUUGCUGGUACAUUUUUAGUAAAUUCUUUGCCUGCUUUGGUUUUAUUUGACUCGGGGGCGAGUCGGUCGUUCGUAUCUCAGACCUUCUCUCGAGGGUUCAGUGUGAUGAUAGAUGAUCUUGAGUGCCCGUUGUGAGUUUCGAUUGCCAACGAGCACAGGGUUUCUGCUUCUUCGGUCUACCGGGGAUGCAAGUUGGAGAUUUUCGGAGUGUCUUUCCCGAUAGAUUUGAUUCCUAUCCCCAUGGGGGAUGUAUGCGUGAUUGUGGAAAUGGAUUGGCUUAGCCGCUUUGGUGUCAUGAUCGACUGUGAAGGUCAGCGGGUGGUGGUUCGAACCCCAAGUGGGGGAGAACUGGUGGUAUAUGGUGAGGGCACCAGGUCGGGAUCAGGGUUCUGUUCGGUGGCCAGGGCUCGACAGUAUAUUCAGCACGGGUGUGCCGUUUAUUUGGCAUAUGUAGUAGGUACGCGGGUUAGAGAGCAGCUCUCAGUUUCAGAGGUCCCUGUGGUUAGAGAGUUUGCUGCUGUAUUUCCUGAGGAGUUACCAGGAGUGCCUCCGGUGAGGCAGGUUCAAUUUAGGAUUGAUCUAGUGCCAGGUGCGGCUCCGAUCGCCAAGGCGCUGUACCGUUUGGCACCGCCAUAGAUGCNCCGUUUGGCACCGCCAGAGAUGCAGGAGUUGUCAUCUCAGUUGCAGGAACUGCUGGGUAAGCAGUUUAUUCGUCCGAGUAGCUCACCCUGGGGAGCACCGAUCCUCUUCGUCAGGAAGAAGGACGGUUCGCACAGGAUGUGCAUUGACUAUAGGGAGUUGAAUAAGUUAACGGUAAGGAACCGUUAUCUGCAACCGAGGAUAAAAUAUCUCUUCGACCAGCUGCAGGGUGCAUCUUGGUUUUCCAAGAUUGAUUUGAGAUCAGGUUACCACCAGGUCAGGGUGAGGGAGGAAGAUGUGCAGAAGACCGCAUUCCGGACUUGUUAUAGUCAUUACGAGUUCGUGGUGAUGUCGUUUGGACUCACCAACGCGCCAGCAGUGUUCAUGGAUCUGAUGAACCGAGUCUGCAGAUUGAUGCUCGAUCGCUCGGUGAUUGUGUUUAUAGAUGAUAUCUUGGUGUAUUCCAAGACCCGAGACCAGCAUGAGGAGCAUCUCAGGGAGUUGUUGGAGGUGCUGCGACGAGAACGGCUUUAUGCCAAGUUCUCGAAGUGUGAGUUCUGGUUGCGGGAGGUUCAGUUCCUUGGGCAUCUCGUUAACCAGGAUGGGAUUUUGGUCGAUCCGGCCAAGGUGAAGGCGGUUAGGCAGUGGGAGGCUCCGAGAUCUCGCUCAGAUAUCAGGAGUUUUCUGGGCUUAGUAGCGUAUUAUCGAAGAUUCAUUCGUGAUUUCUCCAAGGUUGUUGUACCCCUCACUCGUCUAUCGAGGAAGGGAGUGGACUUCUGGUGGGGCCCGGAGCAGCAGAGGGCGUUUCAAACCCUCCGACAGCGGUUAUGCGAGGCGCCAGUGUUGACACUCCCCGAGGGAGUGGAGGAUUUCGUGGUAUAUUGUGAUGCGUCCAUCGCAGGCUUAGGGGCAGUCCUCAUGCAGAGGGGGCGGGUGAUAGCUUAUGCAUCACGACAGUUGAAGCCGCAUGAGAUGAGAUACCCCACACACGAUCUUGAGUUGGGAGCGGUGGUCUUCGCUCUCAAGAUUUGGAGGCACUAUCUGUACGGGGUCCGUUGUACCGUAUACACGGAUCACAAGAGUUUGAGGCACAUUAUGGAUCAGCCGAACCUGAAUAUGAGGCAGCGCAGGUGGAUGGAUGUAGUCAAGGACUAUCAUUGUGAGAUCCUUUACCAUCCUAGUAAAGCGAAUGUGGUCGCGGAUGCCCUGAGCCGCAAGUCAGCUGGGUCUUCUACCCCAGCCAGAUGUAUGAGGAUAGAGGUGGAUUCCCCGCUGGUGGGUUUGGUCAGAUAUGCUCAGAUCGAGGGAAUGAAAUCGGAGAACAAGAAAUUGGAAAGGAUUAAGGGCGGAAGCGCGGUUUGUUCAGGAUAGCCGCGGGCUACUGACCCGAUAUGGUCGGGUUUGGGUUCCGAUGACCGGAGGAGUUAGACAGACAGUGAUGGAGGAGGCUCAUAAGUCUCGUUUUUCUAUUCACCCGGGGGCUACCAAGAUGUACCGAGAUUUGAGUUUGAGUUAUUGGUGGCCUGGUAUGAAGCGAGAUAUCGCUUGGUACAUUGAGAGGUGCUUGACCUGCAGAAUGGUCAAGGCCGAGCACCAGAGGCCGCAUGGUAAGUUGCAGCCCUUGGAGAUACCCAUGUGGAAAUGAGAACGGAUUACGAUGGAUUUCGUCACAAAGUUGCCGAAGACGGCAAAAGGAUUCGACGCUAUAUGGGUCAUCGUGGAUCGAUUGACCAAGAGUGCCCAUUUCCUAGCUAUUCGGGAGAGUUCGUCGGCGGAGAAGUUGGCUGACCUAUACGUCCGCGAGAUUGUCUCUCCCCAUAGGGUUCCAGUUUCCAUAGUUUCCGAUCGGGAUGUCCGAUUUACUUCUAGUUUUUGGCAGAAGUUCCACGAGGAACUAGGUACGAGACUGCAUUUCAGUACAACGUUCCACCCGCAGACUGAUGGGCAGAGUGAGCAGACCAUUCAGACCCUCGAAGAUAUGUUUAGGGCGUGCGUCAUCGAUUUCAGUGGGAGUUGGGAUUCUCACCUACCGCUUGUGGAAUUCGCCUACAACAACAGCUAUCAUUCCAGUAUUGGUGCCCCGCCUUUCGAGCUGUUGUAUGGGCGGAAGUGUAGGACCCCAGUCUGUUGGGGCGAGGUUGGGCACAUGGUAAUCGGUCGGACAGAGGUAGUUCUGCAAACUACCGAGAUGAUACAGCAGAUUAAACAGUGGCUGCAGACCGCUCAGAGUCGACAUAAGAGUUAUGCCGAUCGACGCCGAUUUGAGCUGGAAUUUUAGGUGGGUGACAUGGUUCUCCUGAAGGUCUCACCCUCGAAGGGUGUGAUCCGUUUCAGGAAAAGGGGAAAAUUGGGACCCCUAUUCAUUGGGCCAUUCAGGAUUGUUGCCAGGGUUGGCAAGGUUGCUUAUAGGCUAGAGCUUCCAGAGGAACUUAGCAGGAUCCACAGCACAUUUCAUGUUUCGCAAUUGCUAAAGUGCGUCGUGGACCAGGAGGCAGUGGUGUCGUUGGACGACAUCUAGGUCGACGAACGUUUGAACUAUGUGGAAAGGCCUGUGGCGAGUUUGGAAAGAAAGAAGAAGAAUCUGCGGAACAAGGAAAUACCUUUGGUAAAGGUACAAUGGGAGCAUAGGAAGGGAUCCUAGCAGACGUGGGAGCCAGAGGCAGAGAUGCGCGAGCAUUAUCCGGCGUUGUUUAUCCAAGCGGACUUUGAGGACGAAGUCUAGUUCAAGUGGGGGAGAGUUGUAACGCCCCGAUUUUCAGGUAAUAAUUUAAAUAAAAACAUUUUUGGGGUUUGGCCCUACUCGACGAGUUAGUUCCCUUCUCGUCGAGUAGCAGCGGGUUGGAUCGUGAAUUAAGUGGCCUACUCGGCGAGUCCUUUGUUGGACCCGGCGAGUAGGAGCUGGAGAGUGAAACCCUAAGUUCCAGGGUUUGCACCCCUAUUUAAAGAAGCUCACGCCUCUCUCAGUUCUUUUGCAGCCCCCUUUGCAUCUCUAUCUUGUGUGUGUGUGCGCCCUUUGUGUGUUGAAGUUUGAGAGAGGAUUUUUGGUGGAAAAGUUCGGUGAAUCAAGUGAUUUUGGCAAGGAGCUGGGAAGAGAUCCGAUUUCUUCUGUUAUGGACAUCACUUGGGAAGGUAAUUGACUAUUUCCCUCAAUUAUUUUUGUUAGACCUCAUCUUUGAAUGAGUUUUAGGGUUUUUGAAAGGGGAUCAAGUUGUUAUGGCAAUCUAUGGGCUAGAUCUGAAGUUGUAACUUUAGAUCUGGACUCCCUUUGGAUCUUUUGAGCAUAAAGUUCCAGCUUUAGUCGAGUGUAAGGUUCCCUUGGUCCAUGAGCACCCAUUUAGGGCUUGGUUUUGGCAUUUGGAGCUUAUAAGGCAAUGCAUGCAUGUAAAGUUUGAAACUUUACGUGAUAAGUAGGCUUAAGAAAGCUAGAUCUACAAUUUGGGACCUUGCCAUGGCUUAUAGACGUCUGCAUAUUAAGUUGACUGAAGGAACUCGGCGAGUCGCAAAGCCGACUCGGCGAGUCAUAUGAAGAUAUGCAUUCGACCCGGCGAGUUGGACGAACAACUUGGCGAGUCAGUUGAAGGAAGCCGGGAACUCGACGAGGUUGUUGAACAACUCGACGAGUUAGAUGAAGUUGGUCAUGAAACUCGACGAGUUGAAAAACAACUCGGCGAGUUGUAUGAGUUUUAGCCAAGGACGUGUUUGCAUGUAUACCCGUCGAGUUGCAAGGAGGAAACUCGACGGGUGGUCUUGAGACCUGAUCAGGAUUCGAAGGAACUCGAUGAGUCACCCCGAUGACUCGGCGAGUUGGUGUGUGCUUCAAAGACUCGGCGAGCCACCGAGUGUACUCGGCGAGUUGAGGUCAACAUGAACUGUUGACCUUGACCAAGGACUUUGAC